UACGGGGGGGCAAGCGUUGUUCGGAAUUACUGGGCGUAAAGGGCUCGUAGGCGGCCAACUAAGUCAGACGUGAAAUCCCUCGGCUUAACCGGGGAACUGCGUCUGAUACUGGGUGGCUUGAAUCCGGGAGAGGGAUGCGGAAUUCCAGGUGUAGCGGUGAAAUGCGUAGAUAUCUGGAGGAACACCGGUGGCGAAGGCGGCAUCCUGGACCGGCAUUGACGCUGAGGCGCGAAAGCCAGGGAGCAAACGGG
rnacentral:rRNA from 1 species